AAAUAGGAAGCGAUUUAUUGCGUUUAGUUUCGACCUAAAGUUAGGUAUUUUUACCCUUAUUUA
rnacentral:tRNA from 1 species